GUUUAUAUAUAAUUAUGUUUUGGUGAAUACUUUUUUCAUUUAUUAUUAAGUUAAAAUCAUAAAGUGUUAUGUGCCAAAUUGUUAUAACCCCAAAUAUAAUAAAAAAAUGCAUGUCUUUCCGGCAUCUAAUUAUCAGAGGGCGAAUAAUCUUUUAAUGGAUGACCUAACUCUUCGGUUUGUGGCACAAAUCAACGAUAAUUUGAAAUCGAAACCAAAUAGAAGUGUCUCCUUUACGGCAAUAACAAAAUAGUUUUCAAGUCACUGGAGAAUGCUCUGAUACAGAACCAGAAGAACAAUCUGCAACUCUAAGGACAAGGACAAGAGAUGGAAGCCUAAACACCUUGAAAAAGAUUUUUGCAGCACCUCUAAGAUUGUGAAGUGCAGGUUAAAAGUCACCUAUUCUGACACC